UACGUAGGGGGCAAGCGUUGUCCGGAAUCAUUGGGCGUAAAGAGCGCGUAGGCGGCCCUGUAAGUCCGCUGUGAAAGUCAAGGGCUCAACCCUUGAAUGCCGGUGGAUACUGCAGGGCUAGAGUCCGGAAGAGGCGAGUGGAAUUCCUGGUGUAGCGGUGGAAUGCGCAGAUAUCAGGAGGAACACCGAUGGCGAAGGCAGAUCUCUGGGCCGUAACUGACGCUGGAGGAGCGAAAGCGUGGGGAGCGAACGG
rnacentral:rRNA from 1 species